UUUCCGUAGGUGAACCUGCGGAAGGAUCAUUACAGAGUUUUCUAAACUCCCAAACCCAUGUGAACUUACCAUUGUUGCCUCGGCGGAGCCUACCCUGUAGCUACCCUAUAAGGUGGCUACCCUGUAGCGCCCCGCCGGUGGAUUUUCAAACUCUUGUUAUUUAUAGUAAUCUGAGAGUCUUAUUUUAAAUAAGUCAAAACUUUCAACAACGGAUCUCUUGGUUCUGGCAUCGAUGAAGAACGCAGC
rnacentral:misc_RNA from 1 species